GAGAAAAAAUUGGAAUUCUAAGAGUUAGGCUUCAUGAAUUAAUAAUCAGAUAUUGUCUACAUGGUCUCUUGGCUUUCCAUCGGUGAGGCCUUUCUAUCUUGUUUUUUAAGGUCUGAUCAGUGGUCACCCUCUUACUGUUGGGCAAUGUAGACAAAUGGCCAAGAGUCUUGGCCUGAAAGAGUGGGAUUUUCCAAGGGUCAACUGGCACAAGUGGUCCAGUUCCUACCAGAGUAGAACACACCCUUGAGUGGAGACAGAUAAAGAGGUAUGUCCUUAACAGGAAAUUUAUUUCUUCCUGCCUUAAUUAAGUAAAUGCUGAACAAAUAUUUAGAGAAUAGUGAUUUGAAGGGGCACAAAUGUCUUGGUUUUCCUUUGCUUCAUCCAUUGUCACUUAAACUGUGAUUUCCACAAUGGAGUGAUAUUCUGGUUUGUGACUCAAUUCCUGUUGAUAGAACAAAUGAGCAUAGUGCUUACUCAGCACAAUUCCCGGCACAGAACACAGGAGGCUUAAGAAGCAACAAAAUCCCCUCUGGCAAGCCCCUCACAUCUCCAGGGAACACUUGUACAGUGUGUGAGUGUGUGAGAGAUGCUUUCCACUUUUAGAGUGAGCUGGCUCAUCAGCUCUGACUCCAGCCAGCAGAUGGCCCUUCAAGUCAGUAGGGCAAGGCUGCAGUAUGCGGGAUCGCAUGGCCUAUUGCUGUUUCCUUG
rnacentral:lncRNA from 1 species